UCCUGGAUAAUAUCCCUCAUUUGCCCUAAUUUUCUUCGACGGAGACAGACUCUCUCUCUCUCUCUCUCUCUCUCUCUCUCUACACUACCCAUCGUCCGACGAUCUACAGGAAACGGCGAUCGAUCUACACUGACUGAGUUCUAAAACUAGAGAGGUGGUUAGAUUGAUCGAUCUACUACAGACUGAGUUCUAAAACUAGAGAGAUGGUUAGAUUGAUUGACAGCGUUAGGGUUCUACACACAGAGAAAGAAAGCUUACAGAGAGAAAACCACAGAGGUUUGGUUUAUUUUUCUUGUUAUUUACUUCUGCAGUGGAUUUUGUGAGGGACUUCAUAGAAAAAAUAUUAGAUUAAUUUUGAGAUCUUUUGAUAGUAGUUUGUUUGUUUAGAAAUGAAAUUUGGAAUUAAUUUGUUCUGUUCUAAAGUUCACAAUCUGUUUUGAAGUUAAUCUAUUCUGUGACUAAUUGAUCCUUCUUCACAAUUUGUUCUGUAAUUUAAUCUGUUCUAUAAAACAUAUUAGUUUGUUUUGGACCAUGUGAGAUCUCUAAUUGAUGGUAGUUUGAGUUGCGAGUCCAGGGAAGUAUAUAGAGCAUAAUUUGUUCUAUAAUUUAGUC